UUUCGUACGCGUCUGCCCAGCCAGACUGUAUGCCCAUCUUGGAGCACACCCGGGUCAAACCUGUCAAAACGGCCAUGGCAUGACAAGACGCUGACCUCUCUGCUAAGAUUGCUGCAAAGAGCUUCUUGAAAAUGAUGGGCCUGAGAGCAGCAAUGGACUCAGAUGUGUUUGGAGUCUUAUUGCAGCCGUGGUGCUGCCGAGUUAAAGAAGUUCUCCAAGAGGGUCCUGCAUCAGAGGACAAGUAAGCAUAAUUUUAAAAUUACAGGAUUCUUGUAGGUCUGCCCACAAUGUACAAAUCGCUUGAAUCGUCACAUGCCAGCCCUGAAUGGUUUUUGCCUUGGUCUUGAAUCUCCAUGCAAUGCAAGCAUUCAGUGUGCCUUGUUGAAGUAUCAAUUACAUAACUAAUUUUUUCUACGCAAGAACUGUUAGAUGAGUCAAAUGAUCGAUUUUUCCAAUGAACUCUGCCAUGUUUCUGGUUACUGGUGGUAGAGCACUAAAUGCUAUGAAUGCUUCUAUUUCUAGAUAGACCCUGUUGCUCAUCUCAAGGGAGACUCGACUUCACUUUCAUUAUACCAAAUGCACUUUCGUAGAUGUAGCUGUCAGUCAUUUUGGGCAGGUGUCAAAGUUUUAAGGGUUCCACUCCAUGCACGGCAACAAGUGUUAUUUAAGGUUUGGGGAACAUGCUUAGUUGUGUAUGUCAGAGAUGCUGGCUCAGAUUGCAAGGAAUAGGACACAAGGGGCACAGCGAACAUAUAUUUAAACAGAAACGAGCACAAGCAAAACAAAUACAAAAACAGAGCAAGCAAAAUAGCAUACAAAGCGUCGUUAAGAAGUCAUUUCAAACAAAUGGCAUGCUUACCCAUUUGAAGAUCGAUGAA
rnacentral:lncRNA from 1 species